rnacentral:rRNA from 1 species
UACGGAGGGUGCAAGCGUUAAUCGGAAUUACUGGGCGUAAAGCGUGCGUAGGCGGUUAUUUAAGUCAGAUGUGAAAGCCCCGGGCUUAACCUGGGAACUGCAUUUGAUACUGGGUAACUAGAGUUUGGUAGAGGAGAGCGGAAUUUCCGGUGUAGCGGUGAAAUGCGUAGAUAUCGGAAGGAACACCAGUGGCGAAGGCGGCUCUCUGGACCAAAACUGACGCUGAGGUACGAAAGCGUGGGUAGCAAACAGG